CAACACUCGACUGAUCAGUUUUGUUAUCAUCCGCCGUAUGAGAGCCAUUGGCAUUUUGAACACUUGUGUCACAGCAGCCCAGACUUUACCUCGCAUCGAAACGUGGUGUUACUCAAUAUGACUCACAUUAUGAGUCAUGAGUCUGCAAGUGCCGGAUGGAUGGAGGAGGCAGAGAUGCUGGAGGCGCUGCUGCUGGAGAGUCCUGCGGAGAUCCAUGUAGUCUUGCCACAUGUCAACUGCAGGGAUGCUUCUCGCGCUUGGUCAGAGAGGAGGACUGCAUCAUGUCUGGUUUGAGUCAGUGGGGCGGGGCUGCAGUCCAUAUGCAGAGGGAGGACACAUGGGCCCGGAGUCUUUCCUCAUUAUAUAAAAUCUUCUCACCUUUCCCCUGUUUUAUGGUGUAUGUGGGAGUUUCUCUCUCUUGCGCACCACCCUUUUGUGCUAUUUGUUUGCCGGCAUUUGU